AAAUUGAAGAGUUUGAUCAUGGCUCAGAUUGAACGCUGGCGGCAGGCCUAACACAUGCAAGUCGAACGGUAACAGGAAGCGCUUGCUGCUUCGCUGACGAGUGGCGGACGGGUGAGUAAUGUCUGGGAAACUGCCUGAUGGAGGGGGAUA
rnacentral:rRNA from 1 species